UGCAAUGGUAGUGGACUUCUUAAUUUUAUCUUCAUCACUGAAGUAGAUGAUGUCUCCACAAUACAGGCAAGGCUUCUCUAAUGUCUGCAAGCAAAGAAUAAAUGAAGAAGCAAUGAAAAUGAAUGAGGAACAUAGAGAAGAACUUCUCAAAACAUACUUCAAUUCAUUUCAUGAGUCUUUUGUUACGAAGUCUUUACAAAAGGAUGA
rnacentral:lncRNA from 1 species